rnacentral:rRNA from 1 species
CUGCUGCCUCCCGUAGGAGUUUGGGCCGUGUCUCAGUCCCAAUGUGGCCGUUCACCCUCUCAGGCCGGCUACUGAUCGUCGCCUUGGUGGGCUGUUACCCCUCCAACAAGCUAAUCAGACGCGGAUCCAUCGUAUACCACCGGAGUUUUUCACACCGUCUCAUGCGAGACUGUGCGCUUAUGCGGUAUUAGCACCUAUUUCUAAGUGUUAUCCCCCAGUAUACGGCAGGUUAUCCACGCGUUACUCACCCGUCCG